CGCUGCAUACCUGAAACACACAUAAUAUAAUAUUACCUGGUACUUAUUGGUUCUUCAUCGCUUAGUAACUAAAACACACGAUAAUAUAAUAUUCUCCAGUACUUAUAAAAGAGCAAAUAUUAUGAAGACGAAUAAAGAAUCGUAGGUAUGAUAUUAUUAUACUAUAGAUUACAUAUUGUUUUAUCCCUCCUGCAUAAGAAUAAUAAUAAUGGCAUGUGAAAUUAAAAACCGCCUUUGUCAGCUUGGGGUUUGUAUGCUUGUGUUAGGGUAUCACCUCAUCAAUCUGCAUAUUUUCUGUAUCUUCCAUGAUGCCUUGUUCUUCCAUUGCCUUUGUUGACUUGGUGUUCAUAUCCUCAUCUUUGGUUAUCAUGCAUUCAAUCUGCAUAUUUUGUGUAUGCUCGUCCUUCGCUCCUUUGUUGAUGUUUUCCUAAAAAUCAAAGCAUAUAUUAUUAUCACGCGGUACACAUUCAGCCCCUAUGUUUUGUUAGCUUGAAAAUCGGUCUUAUAUGUUGGGACGUAGGGAGUACAUCACAACUGUAUGCACAUAUUUGCUUAUGUUUACUUAACAUAGUGGUAUCAGGAUAUCCUUUCCAACUAAAUUUCACUAUCUAUUUCUUUUUUUAAUUGUUCAGUCAAGUUUUCGAGACUAACUUGCGUGACUAUUCUCUCUAGUAAUCAGGUGGAAAGGACGGCAGCAAUAUGCUUAUUUUGCUCGCAGGCUUGUCAUUGUCGCUUUAAUAUUUCCUCUCUAUUUUUUGCAUACCGCUCCCUUUCCAUCCAAUUCUUAAUCUCAUCACGGCCUGACUAGAUGAAGCAUAGAUCAUUAUAUAGCAAUAUAACUGGGCCAUGUAGGAUGAAGUUCAUGUUCAUUACCUUGUGAUACAGCCAGCUGUGUUUGUGCCCCACUACUCUUGGCAGAGGCAAUUUUCUUCUGUUUAUAGGCCUCACGUCGUCUCUUAUUAAUCUCAUCCUUGUUUUGUGCAUACCGCUCUCUAUCCCUCUGCCUUUUUACUUCUUUAGGGUCUGCAAUCAAUGGCACAAUUCAGCAGUUGAGCUACAAAAACUGAAAUUGAGUGCUUGUGUAAUGCUCAUCACCCAAGGACUGGGUGUUGCUUAUAUCCUGGAAUGGGGUGCGCGUCCCAUUGGGAUUGGUCGGGGCCAUACGAAGUCCUUCAACCCUAUGAAUGUCAAGAAUGUAUCACACAAUUGUAACAGAAGGAAUAGUAUUAGCACAACGCAGACAGAGUACAGUUUUAUGUUCAACU
rnacentral:lncRNA from 1 species